CUAUGUUUUAAGCAUCAAGCCCCACAAAACAUGGAUCUGUUCCCAUUCGCAAAGAACAUCUUACUUGGAUUUUACCACAAAAGAAGGGGCAAUAUUAAAAUUUCACCCAUGGCACAAUCUUAUGCAAGGAUUUGGCAUUGCACACCUGACUUCUUUCAGAAGUCGAAUAGACACUUUCAGUGACCCUAGGGAGAGAGCAGGAGGCAGCUCUAGGACCAUCUCUCACCCAGGCACCUCACUGCAUGCAGUCUAUCAGAAGCACCCCACAACAGUUCCUUCCUGCAUCCACUCUGAACUAUGUAUCUGCUGGUGGAAUGCUGAUGAGGAGCUGGCCUGUGUGCUGGGCAUAUGCAAUGGAUUCUCUUCAAGCAGAGAUCAAAGUUGCCUUGUUAAAAUGGAACACUAAAAGGGCAAGAAACGCAUUGGGCAAUGAAAUCUGCCCUUCAGCCGUUUUCCACCUACAUAUUUAUCCUUGAAGAAAAAUGAUGAAACGCGCUCAUAUAAUGUUUCCUGUUUGUAAAGUUUCCUUGCGUGAAUAUAUGUUCUUACUCCCUUGGGGGAGGGGGACUGUGGUGAUUUCCCAAGCGCUAUUAACUUUGAUUGUCCACCAUUGGUAAUUAAUUUGGUAAUCCUUUCAGCUCAUGUAGUGGGAAGAUUUCAU
rnacentral:lncRNA from 1 species